UAUUUUUUCUAGACCCAUAUG
rnacentral:piRNA from 1 species